rfam:Odoribacter sp. CAG:788 genomic scaffold, scf119
AAGGAGGAAGUCGAAAAUCCAUAAAAGAGUAGACA